rnacentral:rRNA from 1 species
UACGUAGGGGGCAAGCGUUGUCCGGAAUCAUUGGGCGUAAAGCGCGUGUAGGCGGCCCGAUAAGUCCGCCGUGAAAGUCCAGGGCUCAACCCUGGAAUGCCGGUGGAAACUGUCGGGCUGGAGUCCGGAAGAGGCGAGUGGAAUUCCUGGUGUAGCGGUGAAAUGCGCAGAUAUCAGGAGGAACACCAAUGGCGAAGGCAGCUCGCUGGGACGGUACUGACGCUGAGACGCGAAAGCGUGGGGAGCAAACAGG